rnacentral:rRNA from 1 species
UUUAAAGUUUGACCUGCCCAAUGAGGAUUUGAAUGGCCGCGGUAAUUUGACCGUGCAAAGGUAGCAUAAUCAUUAGUUUUUUAAUUGAAAGCUGGAAUGAAUGGUUGGACGAGAAAAUAGCUGUCUUAGUUUAAUUGAUAUUAGAAUUUUAUUUUUAAGUUAAAAAGCUUAAAUGUAAUUAAAAGACGAGAAGACCCUGUAGAGUUUUAUAUGUUUAUUGUUAUUAUUUUUUUAGUAUUAGUUUUAAUUUUAAUAUUGGAUUUAUUUAGUUGGGGCGAUUUGGAAAUUGGCUAAACUUUCUAUAAUUAGUUAACAUUGAUUUAUGGUUGAUUGAUCCAUUAGUUGUGAUUAUAAGAUUAAAUUACCUUAGGGAUAACAGCGUUAUUUUGUUUGAGAGUUCUUAUCGAAAAUAGAGUUUGCGACCUCGAUGUUGGAUUAAAAUUAACUGUUGGUGUAGGGGCUAAUUAGUUGAGUCUGUUCGACUUUUAAAAUUUUACAUGAUCUGAGUUUAAACCGGUGUGAGCCAGGUUGGUUUCUAUCUUUAGUUAAUAUUAAUAUCUUAGUACGAAAGGACCAGAUAUUGGUAAUAUUUAUUUAUUUAUGAAUUUUAUUA